GUUUCCCAGCCUGUCGAACUGCAAUGGCAUAAGGUAUGAGGAUCCAAGUCCUUUGGGUGGAAAAUUAAGAGCUAGAUCCACCUAGAAUCAAAGGAAUUCUCCUGAUUUACACUAGCUGCAGAACUGUCCCCAAAUAUAAACUGCAUCCGACAGAGAUUGAGCAACUUUUGAGAAGGACAGUGCUCCAGCUGCCCCAGAAGCAAAACCCCACUGCAUAGUGCUCAGGUGGAAAACUGACAGAUUAGUGAUCAAAGUACCGAAUUUACCUACAAAGAAGCCUGUUGGCUGGCUCAAAAGACAUUAUCCCUUGAACACUUACUUGCCUAUAUUCAAACAAACAGUCUUUCUUCAGUCACAAAAUCAGAUCAAAACAAAGAGAAAAGGGAAAAAGGGAAGUGUGGGAAAAUAGUAAAGACAAUGGCAACUAUAGAAGUGA